UGCGUAGGCGGAAAUUUAAGUCAGUGAUGAAAUCCUGCGGCUCAACCGUAGAACUGUUAUUGAUACUGAAUUUCUUGAAUACAGUUGAGGUUGGCGGAAUAUGUAAUGUAGCGGUGAAAUGCUUAGAUAUUACACAGAACACCGAUUGCGAAGGCAGCUAACUAAACUGAUAUUGACGCUGAGGCACGAAAGCGUGGGGAGCGAACAGGAUUAGAUACCCUGGUAGUCC
rnacentral:rRNA from 1 species